rnacentral:rRNA from 1 species
UGCAAGUCGAGCGGUAGCACGGGAGAGCUUGCUCUCUGGGUGACGAGCGGCGGACGGGUGAGUAAUGUCUGGGAAACUGCCUGAUGGAGGGGGAUAACUACUGGAAACGGUAGCUAAUACCGCAUGAUGUCGCAAGACCAAAGUGGGGGACCUUCGGGCCUCACGCCAUCGGAUGUGCCCAGAUGGGAUUAGCUAGUAGGUGGGGUAAUGGCUCACCUAGGCGACGAUCCCUAGCUGGUCUGAGAGGAUGACCAGCCACACUGGAACUGAGACACGGUCCAGACUCCUACGGGAGGCAGCAGUGGGGAAUAUUGCACAAUGGGCGCAAGCCUGAUGCAGCCAUGCCGCGUGUGUGAAGAAGGCCUUAGGGUUGUAAAGCACUUUCAGCGAGGAGGAAGGCGUUGUAGUUAAUAGCUGCAGCGAUUGACGUUACUCGCAGAAGAAGCACCGGCUAACUCCGUGCCAGCAGCCGCGGUAAUACGGAGGGUGCAAGCGUUAAUCGGAAUUACUGGGCGUAAAGCGCACGCAGGCGGUUUGUUAAGUCAGAUGUGAAAUCCCCGAGCUUAACUUGGGAACUGCAUUUGAAACUGGCAAGCUAGAGUCUUGUAGAGGGGGGUAGAAUUCCAGGUGUAGCGGUGAAAUGCGUAGAGAUCUGGAGGAAUACCGGUGGCGAAGGCGGCCCCCU